UACGGGGGGUGCAAGCGUUGUCCGGAAUCAUUGGGCGUAAAGCGUUCGUAGGCGGCACGUCAAGUUUGGUGUCAAAGCCCGGGGCUCAACUCCGGUUCGGCAUUGGAUACUGGCGAGCUAGAAUGCGGUAGAGGUUAAGGGAAUUCCUGGUGGAGCGGUGAAAUGCGUAGAUAUCAGGAGGAACACCGGUGGCGAAAGCGCUUAACUGGGCCGUUAUUGACGCUGAGGAACGAAAGCUAGGGUAGCAAAC
rnacentral:rRNA from 1 species